rnacentral:rRNA from 1 species
CCUACGGGAGGCAGCAGUGAGGAAUAUUGGUCAAUGGACGAGAGUCUGAACCAGCCAAGUAGCGUGAAGGAUGACUGCCCUAUGGGUUGUAAACUUCUUUUAUAUGGGAAUAAAACGUUCCAAGUGUGGGAUUUUGUAUGUACCAUAUGAAUAAGGAUCGGCUAACUCCGUGCCAGCAGCCGCGGUAAUACGGAGGAUCCGAGCGUUAUCCGGAUUUAUUGGGUUUAAAGGGAGCGUAGGUGGAUUGUUAAGUCAGUUGUGAAAGUUUGCGGCUCAACCGUAAAAUUGCAGUUGAAACUGGCAGUCUUGAGUACAGUAGAGGUGGGCGGAAUUCGUGGUGUAGCGGUGAAAUGCUUAGAUAUCACGAAGAACUCCGAUUGCGAAGGCAGUUCACUGGACUGCAACUGACACUGAGGCUCGAAAGUGUGGGUAUCAAACAGGAUUAGAUACCCUAGUAGUC